rnacentral:rRNA from 1 species
UCAUAUGUACAUGCCUACAACGUUAAUGCAUCAGAUCCCAUUAGAAUUCCGCGGUUAAGCGCACUUGGAAAAGAGUAGUACUGGGAUGGGUGACCUCCCAGGAAGUCCUAGUGUUUUACAUGCC